GAAAUGCGAUAAGUAAUGUGAAUUGCAGAAUUCCGUGAAUCAUCGAAUCUUUGAACGCACAUUGCGCCCUCUGGCAUUCCGGGGGGCAUGCCUGUCCGAGCGUCAUUACGCACCCUCAAGCCCGGCUUGUGUGAUGGGCCCCGGCGUCUCGUUCGCGAGACGGGCCCGAAAGGCAGCGGCGGCGUCGACCCGAUGAGCCCGAGCGUAUGGGGACUUGUGUCACACGUUCGCGGUGCGGACCGGCGCCUGCUUGACUUUUCUGAUUAUCCAGGUUGACCUCGGAUCAGGUAGGGAUACCCGCUGAACUUAAGC
rnacentral:misc_RNA from 1 species